GGCCUGUUCCGCCUGGGGCGGCAGCGGUCUGCAAAACCGUUUGGGGCGGGUUCGACUCCCGCACUGGCCU
rnacentral:tRNA from 1 species